CCUGCUCAAUGAAAAUUUAAAUAGCCGCAAUAUAUUUGUGCUAAGGUAGCAUAAUCAUUGGUUUUUUAAUUAAAAACUAGAAUGAAAGGUUUAACGUUUUAAUUUCUUUAUUAAUAAUAAAUUUUAAAUUUAUAUUAAAUAUAAAAAUAUAUUUAUUUUAUAAAUAGACGAUAAGACCCUAUUGAAUUUUACUUAUUUGUUUAGCUGGGGCAGCUAUUUAAAAACAAAUUUAAAUUUAUAUAAUAAAAAAAAUAUUUCCAAUAUAAUUGAUUAUAUAAUCAAAUUACCAUAGGGAUAACAGCAUAAUAUUAUUUAAAAGUUCAUAUUUAAAAUAAUGUUUAUGACCUCGAUGUUGAAUUAUUAUUCUAAUAAACGCAAUAGUUAUAAAAGUUAGUCUGUUCGACUUUUAAUAUAUUACA
rnacentral:rRNA from 1 species